rnacentral:rRNA from 1 species
AUUGAACGCUGGCGGCAUGCCUUACACAUGCAAGUCGAACGGCAGCACGGGUGCUUGCACCUGGUGGCGAGUGGCGAACGGGUGAGUAAUACAUCGGAACGUACCUUAUCGUGGGGGAUAACGCAGCGAGAGCUGUGCUAAUACCGCAUACGCCCUGAGGGGGAAAGCGGGGGAUCGAAAGACCUCGCGCGAUUAGAGCGGCCGAUGCCUGAUUAGCUUGUUGGUGGAGUAAAAGCCCACCAAGGCGACGAUCAGUAGCUGGUCUGAGAGGACGAUCAGCCACACUGGGACUGAGACACGGCCCAGACUCCUACGGGAGGCAGCAGUGGGGAAUUUUGGACAAUGGGGGCAACCCUGAUCCAGCAAUGCCGCGUGAGUGAAGAAGGCCUUCGGGUUGUAAAGCUCUUUUGUCAGGGAAGAAACACCGGCUCUAACACAGUCCGGGAAUGACGGUACCUGAAGUAUAAGCACCGGCUAACUACGUGCCAGCAGCCGCAGUAA